rnacentral:ncRNA from 2 species
AACAGGAGAGCGUUUCGCAGUUUAGCCGUAGAAUAGUCGCCACUCGAAGCGCGGAAGCCGGUGCAAGCCCGGCGCGGUCGCGCCACUGUAAUCGGCAGCAAAUGCGUACACAACAGGCUGUACACAAGCCGGAAGCCAGACCCAAGCUUCGACCUCUCUCAUCAU